rnacentral:tRNA from 1 species
AGGAGGGUAGUUCAAUUGGUAGAAUCAUGGUCUCCAAAACCACCGAUAUGGGUUCAAGUCCCGUCUCUCCUG